AUUUAAACGGGAUGGGAGCGGCAUACUUUUGCUGUAAAGGCAGGGGGGCGUAGAAGGUCAGCAAAAGAUAUAGCGGACAGCCCGGCAGAAC
rnacentral:sRNA from 2 species